AUCGUCGAUGAUGGGGAAAUACCGACUAUAGUCGUGAUCAAGACCGCGGCAAGAACCGGGUCCGUAUUUCUCAUACCAGCCCUUGAUCUUCUGCUCCAGGUCGGUGUUGGCCUCCUCCAGGGCGCGCACGUUGUCCAGUGAGAACGUGUACUAUCGGCUCUCAGCAAAUUUCAAGUAUGCAAAACAGUAGAAUUCACUUUGGUCACUGUGCUACACAUGAGAGCCUCAGAAUUUAUUCAUUUUAUAACUGCAAGUUUGUCCCGUUUUCUUAACCUGUCUUCGCCUCUCCAUGCCCCAGCUCCUGGCAACCACCGUGCAUGGAAACAUUCUUGAGGUCAUCGAUGGCCUCCUCCAGGGUGCGCACAUGGUCCAGGUAGGAUGCCAGCCGGUCAUUGAGGUUCUGCAUGGUCACCUUCUCAUUUCCAGAGAGCAGGCCAUGCUCAUUUCCAAGAAAACCAGCACAGACACCACUG